rnacentral:lncRNA from 1 species
AUGGCGGCGCAAGGCACCUCCUCGGUCUCUUCACCAAACGUGUCUCCCACUUCAGUGUCGCCGCCGACUCUGCCCCCGCCCUCUACUGGGAUUUCGAAGUCUCUCCUGGAGGCGAAGGCGAGCUCUUUGAGCCCACAGUCUCUCUCGGCCGGCCACGAGGACUUGUUGCCCCUCGCAGUAUUUUAUGGGCCGCUGGACGCAAAAAACCCACUCCUGGCCUCCUGUGAGAAGGAGAUUCAGGAGUUGCUAGACUUCAUGAAGAGAAAGAAGACUUUAGCUACAACGGAGGAACAGAAAUAUGAGUUCCACCGGCUUUGUGCCACCUCUUUGUUUAAUAUCUGGACCAAAUACGCCCCCCGGCUGCCAGCUGCCUAUUACAACGAGAAGCUUCUGAAGGUUGGAGAUAGACUUUGUGAAAUGAAAGAAUAUAAAUUGGCCCUUUUACAAUGCUAUGGCAGAUAUCUUCAGCAGUUCAGCAUCAACUUUGAUGAGAAUAAAGCAGACGUGAAUCAAUUCAAAACUGUCUUUUUCCCAAAAGGCUUUGGAGACAAAACUGCACCACAUACAUUUCAUGCUUUAAAUGGCAAAAAUAUUUGCAACUACCAGCUGGUCUGUGACAGUGAUGUGAACCUGCAGAAUAAAGAGUCUGUGAUCCACUGUCUGCAAAUCUUGUCCUCCUUCAGGCUCAUCAUGCAGGUGGCUUUGCCACAGGAGCACCUGUGCUGGAUUAUCUUCAAUGGUACCAUUUACAUUUAUACUAUUUGCAGAAAAUUGAUGAUCAGAGGUCAUUCUUCCAAGGCCUUGGAAUACCUCCUGUGGGCCAGUAUAUGUAUGGAGUCCUCAGUGCCUCUCCUGUCCAUCAGGUACUUGACGUGGAGAGCUACUCUUUACACAGCUGUCUGCCAGUGCUACUAUGACUGCCAAGCUGGUGUCCCUGGAGAGGCAUUUGCUCGACGUGCCUUAGCUAAAAUUGAUGAGUUACGGCAACUGGAAUUAAUGAGUUCCUCACAACCACAGGAAGAAUCCAGAGAAUAUUAUAGAGAGGCCACAAUAAAGAUGGCAGUCAUGAUCUUCAAAAGAGGAGUAUUUGAAUCUAGAAGAAAAAACAAAAGUUUCUUUAGACCAAAGAUAAGAGUUAACAUAAAGGAAGCACAAACUAUGCCAUGGCCACGUACGGUCACAGAAAAGCUGCUGGAAGAGUUGUUUGACAGCACUGCCUCCCGGUUUCUGGCUGUCUUGGAAUCUCUCUCUGACUCAAAUCGGCGAGUACUACAGACUGGACCUGUUUUUACAGAUGAAGUAGAAGUUCGUGAUGUUGUCUCAGAACUAUUUAUGGCAGGAAAAGAACUUUUAAUAAUGUCAAAUAUUGGUGCAGAUGGGAUACUUGAUUUUCCAAAAGCACAUCUUCUAGAACUUAUUAUAAAAAGGAAGAAUCUUAUUUCUGUGAAUGCUGCUGUGAAAUUUAUAAAAUUAGCUUUUAUGUAUGAGGAAUGGAGUUUAUUUGAAUCUGCAGCUGGGCAGCUCCUUGAUUUUCUCCAGAGGCAGGAUGACCCAGAGUCAAAGAAAGUGGAAAAGGAUUUAAUUCUUCUUGUUGCGAUAGAACCUUUGAUCAAUGUAAAGAGAAACAAAGGUUUGAUUUUUCCUUUUGACAACUACAAAGAAGGUCAAGUCUAUGUAAAAAAAAUUGCUGCUCACGAUACUUGUGCGAAGUCUUGUGGAUACUCAGAAGACGUUUUCCAUUUGGCGACAACCUUGUAUUCCUGUGUCUGUGACUCUCCGCAGAAUGCUCAGCCGGAUAAGGAAAUCGUUGUGGACAUGAUAAUGUUCCUGUGGCAGAAAUGCAAAUUAGGAAUGCAGCGGGUCACUGUGUCCAAGAAUGACUACGCAAAGUUUACCCAGAAGAUCAGUACUAAUAAAUGGAUUUAUCUUCUGUGGCAGAUAAAUGAAAUCAUUCACUGCUGUAAGAUGGAAGACAUUGACGUUGUGAUGGUGGCAGAGAUCACGUUACGAUUAAGUGAAAUAUUGGAGUCUUUAGGAAACCCAAGAAGAAAAUUUAAAAAAUUUCUAGAUGUAUCUUUAAGGAAAGGGACUAGUGAAACCUUUGGGGCUCCAAAAGGGAGCAUAGAUAUUCUUCCAAUAAUAAAGAAAAAACCUGAAGAACAGUUAUUUUUGGCCUAUGAACUUCUUGACAGAGCCAUUGGUGGCAUAAAUUUGAACUGCAUGUUAACUGCUUUGCCAAAUGGAUCAUCAGUGAUUGACCAUUGCUAUGCCACGCACAACCACUAUGUAGAUGGAGACAUGUGCAAACCAGUCACACCGAAUAAUUUCAUAAUGGAUUUGCAUCUUGAACUAAUUCAAGCCCAGCACCGAAUAGCUGUUGUGCUUCUUGACCAGUUGCAAGUUUUGCAGACUCCAACUGUGAGCAAAAAUACAUCUACCAAAGGUACAGAGAAGCUAAAAAAACCUGCAAGCCCUGAUUGUUUUACAGAAUUAAGUGUGAUGAAUAAAAUAAGGAAGAAUAAGCUAUCUAAAGCAAUUUAUUUGAUGCAGAAAACUCUUCUAAUAUUUGAGAAAGAUGCAACCUGUUCUUCUCUACAGAACUACUUGACGGAAGCAUAUUCUUUGAUUGAGAAGACCGAAGCAGAACAAAGUAUACAAUAUUCACAUCAGAAAUGUGUGGAAACUGCCAAAGGAAAGAAGAGCAGAGUCCCUCCUCCACCCAUUCUGCUCUCCCGAACUUACCGUUCUGUGACAUUAAAACCUGCCCCAUUUGUUUCUGAUGUUAAGGUCUGCUGGUAUUGCAUUUUGGGUCGCAAAGCGGAAGGAAGCUAUGGAAAAGUAAGACUAAACAAUAAUCAUCUCCCAAACUCAGGAGAAGCGAUACCAGCGGAUGGCAAAAGUGUUUUUGAGGUAAAAGGUUUAGAAACCAAUGAAAAAUACGUCUUUGCAGUUGCAGCUUACUGUUCUAGUGGAAAGCUGAUUGGUGAUGCUAUUGGCGAGACAACUAAACCAAUUCUGGUUUACCCACCUCUUUCUGCUGUUACUACUCGGAUGUUAUUGACGCAGGUUGCCUAUCAGACUGGUAACUAUGAUCUGGCUAAGAAAGUUUUCUCACCAGUCUGGGAUUAUUUUGUUGCUUCACCACCUCAGGGUGACCAAUCCAUUAUUUGUUUAAGUAAUAUAAUGACUAUUACACAGAGAAGAUUACAUUCAGAUAUUUUGACAGAGAGUUCUUCCAUUCUCUUAUAUCUUUUUCUUAGAAAUAUUUUUGUAACAAGUGACAUUAAAAUUAAAGAAGAAAAUUUUUUCUGUGAUAAUAUUAAAGGCAAUGAGAUUUUCCCUUCUCAACAAAUUGCUAGACUGAUUGAAUGUGAGAGAGUAUUGGUGGCAUUGGAACUGAGCAACUAUCUAAAUGAUUCCAGUUACGCCCUUCAGGCUGUGACUCAGUGUUACGGCCUCCUUGCUCCUAUCAUUUAUCACAAUAUUGUUUUGGUACCUGUUGUACAGAUCUUGAUAAAGUGUGUGGUGGUUUUGCAAGGACUACCAAAUGUCAUCCACUUAAAGAAACAUCUUGCAAGCUUUGAAAGUGUACAGCAUAUGAUAGCUUGCUGUAUCUUCUACAUAACAAAGAUCCUGCGUUCAUGGAAGGAAUAUGACCUGGCAGUAAUGAUUAUAAAUUAUGGAAAAAAGGUGUUGGACAUCUCAUCAGGUUGCAAAUCUCUAUUUGGUACUACAGACGUAGAGGAAAUGCAAGAAGAGGGUUCUUCCAAGAAGUCUUGCAAGAAUAAGAAGCCACAGCAGGUAUUAGUACCUGAAAAAAUAAAUGAACAGCUGGUUUUAUUGGAGACACAUCUACUCAGACUGACAAAGCAAUAUAUUACAACUGAACUCUCGGGAGCAGAAGAUCCCAUAUUUCUUUACCCUAUAGUUUUAAACUGGUCGGUCAAAGGUGCUGUGAAAGAAGUUAUGAAAUUUAAGCAGAGACCUAGAUUCCUCGAAUUCUUUACACAAGUUAUGCAAAAAUGUAUGCAUGAUGAAAAAUUUCAACCUAUGUUGGAGAUAACAAAUCCUGUCUAUGACUUCUUGAAAAGGAGGAAUGAGUCCCUUCUUGGAAUAAAAAAACUGAAAUACAAGGAUACUUUUUCUAAAAAGGUCAUCAAACCUGUGAAGAAGUACAGAGCCGCAGUAGUGGAGAUUGGAAAAACUACAGAAAUGAAGCCAAAAAAAAAAGCUAAAAAAAAGGAAACUCUAAGAGAAUUUUUACAUAAAAAUCCCUUUAUUUCUGAAAUGCCGGAGCAUGAAAGAAAUAAGAGAGCUGAUGUUCGAAAAGUAGCACAUCGAUUCCUGGUGGAAAACUUGAAUCCUUUAAUAUUAAGUUAUGUUAAAAAGAAGAGGUUCCAUCAAAUAUUUCUUGAGGAGAUGCCCUGGAAAGCUCAGAUGAACCUGUAUCUGGCAAGCGCACACUUCAACCUGCUUUUAACAAAGCUAGGGGAACGUACAAAGAUAAAAUUUGGUUCUUCACCAAUAAUGGUCAGUUUCCGAUCAUGUGACCCUAAUAUGUUCUCACUGUAUAAUUCAGGAACAGUAUUACCAACAGGAAAAAUGACUCUAGAAAACUAUAAAGUGUUGCUUGAUUUCCUUCUUACAGCUAAAAAAAGAAAGGCUCACUUACCAUCAGAUGCUGAAGAAUUUUUGGCAUUUCUUAAUUCCAAAAUGAGUGGUGAAAAUGUUUCCAAGACCCAAACAGUUUAUGAAUCAGACUCUCAGUCGGGACUUAGCAGUAAAGAAAAGGAUCGAUCUGCAAAUGUGGCUCUCUUGGAUCAUUUUAUGAAAAUCUUUUUAUAUUGCAGGAGAGCAAUGGUUCUUGCUCAUCGUGGUGGCUAUUGGACUCUGCUUCAGAACUGCUGUCGGGCCCUUUGGAACUUUACUCAGGAGUUACAAAUACUGCAUAAACAAACAGUGGAUCUGUAUAAGACAUUUCCGAUUAGCCAGGAUAAUUUCCUCUGUAUCUCUGUUUUACCAUUCUAUUUGGGAGCAGAAUUACUUAUUGACAUGUUAAUAGAACUACAGAAUACUGAUUCUAUUAAGACUAUUGAUGAAAAAGGAGAGUUCAGUGUCCCGAGUUGCUACGGAAAUAUUAAAAAUGAUAAAGGUGGUUCCAGCCUUACCUUUGAGCAUCCUCUGGAUGACGUCAAUGUGGUCGAUUUGAAAUGGAUCCAUGACUUUGUAUUAAAAUCUCUGGAACUUGUCUAUCAAGUAGAAAAAUGGGAAACACUCGUAUCACUUGCCAUUCAGUUCAAUGCAGUUUCGCAUGAAAGAUAUACAGAGCAAGUGACUCCACUCCUGGUUUACGCGCAGCGCCAGCUUCUACUGCAAAUAUCCAAAUGCAAGGGCCCAGACAUCAGCCAGCAGGCUUGUGUAAGAUAUGAGACUGAAUACAAACAGAAGAUAACCUGCCGAAAUUUCGUUGGAAUACAGCUCAAGAUUAAUCCUCCAACCAAUAAAGGGACAGCUAUAGGACAGCGAGCAGAUGUCCUUAAAAAGCUUAUCCAUUCAGAAUACAGCAGAGCCAAAGAGCUCCUCUGUGUGCCUGUGGACGUGACAGACACUCUGAGAUGUUUUAGAGAGACCUUGGAAAAAUCCAAAUAUCACAACAGAUCAAUCCGGCACAGCAGAAAGUUGCUUUCGUUAUUUCUCGCACAGACACAAGGAGACAAAGGAGGAGUGAACAAUUUAAAAUUGGCUGCUGGGAAAGUGGAAUUUUCCCUGGGGACAGAAGAGAUGCACAUGCCAACACCCCCCGACCUUUCUCAGGAGCACUUCCGAGUUUUCAGCUCAGUGGAGAAGAGCAAGCUUCCCUCCUCACAACUUGGACUCGUAAUUUCUUCUUAUUAUGAAACUAUUAAUGUUCUGAAAACCAGCAAUCAAAGAAGUCUUAAUGUUCAGGCAUUGCAUGAACUUGGAAAUCUUCUCAUCUUCGCACAGAAGAAAAGGGCUGCUUUUAAGUGUUGGAGUCAAGCUCUGGAUGAAAUUUUCAGAAAAGAAGAUGUGCUCCAUACAUGGAAGGAGCUUGGCAGCUCACUCACCAAUGCCACUGAUGGCCGGUCACCUCCAGGUUCCAAAGACUACAGUGAGGAGCUCCUGUCCAAAGUCGGCAUCUGGGGGUGUUUGCAGGGAGCGGUGAUAUCAGCAAAGAUAGCACAAUUUAUUCAGACAUUGGAUGUUGAAAAGAGAACCAAUUGUUGCCUUUUAUCAGCAUUUCUGUUUCAGGGUUUGCUUAGAACCACACUACCACAUCCUAAAGCUGAACGUUGCUAUGCUCAGUAUGAAAUCACUCAGCUUCUCCCAGGCAUUGAGCUCUUCUCAGACAGAUACCGGGCUGACAUCUGCUCUGUCAUUGCGAGUUUGUAUUAUGUCAUCCGUGAGCUGCACUUUGCUAAGCAAAAUCUAGUAAUUCUGCCUCUCCUUGCAUUGUACCAAUAUUUUGUUUCUGUAAUUUGCCAAGACUUUGUCAGAAAUCUGGAAGCAAGAAUCCUCAAGAUAGAAGUCCUUACAGAUUUAGGAUUCUUUUCUGAAGCCUUUCAUGAGCUAUCCCAGAUAUUUUAUGCAAAAAAUAUGCCUUCUUCAGUACCCACCAGCUAUAAACCUACUGGAAAAAUGAAGCAAUUUCAAUCUUUUGACUCGGGAAAACCUCUUAUUAGUAAAGAAAAUAUGCAGGCACUUGAUGAUUUAAUAAAUAAAGGCAUGCCUGUAAUUCUGGUUACAGUUAGCCAGCAACAUCUCUUAAAUAAGUUUUUAUUUGUUAAAGCAUACUUUUUCAUAAAUGUGGCUGCAACAAUAAAUUGUGUCCCAGAGCAGAUAAUGAAACCAGUUGGCCACGGAGUUAUGAAUGAGAAAAGCAAACCAAAUCUUCUAAACUUGAAAGAGAUGUGUUUAAAGGAUGAGGGAGGCUCACUUUGUCAUCUGACAAAAUCGAAAGAAAACUUUGUUCUUAGCACACUAAAGUCAAUUUUACUGACAGAAGCUGAAGACAGGCUCAACACCCUUCUGUCAGAGAUGGAACAUCCAAGCCAUAAGGACCUCUCUCAGUGUUGUGCUGGCGAACUGGAGAUUGUGGUGGAGGUCAGACUGCAGCUGGCUGCCAUUGCCCUGCAGAGACACCGGGCAGCAUACAGUGCUGCGAUAGUAUUUUCCACACUUAAACUUCUCCAGGAUUCAAAACUUUUUAAAAAGAAGGUAGUAGAAGAUGACUCAGAGAAUUGCACCUCUCCAGAAAGUUAUGUGACUGAAAGUAAAGACGACAAUUUUUUAGAUCCUAUUUCCCUAAAUUCUCGAGAAUAUUUCAACAUUCAUCUGUGGUUGAGGUGCCGCUUAGCCUUGGUGACUGCAUUUGUUGCCCAGAUUCGUGGCAUUGGAAUUGUGAAAGAAAACGAUAUAACGGAUUACGUGAGCCUUAUCAAUGAAGUGUGUGUGGAGGCAAAAGCUGCAGGUGACAGAGAGCUACAGGCUGAAUUCUUGAUGCAAGCUGUAAUUAUCGGCCUACAAGAAAAGCAUUUAAAGGCAGACAUCAUAAAAAGCCUUCAGAUGAUAACUUUUGGAGAAACAAUUGAAUUGCCUUCAUCAAACACUGACUAUGCAAGUCCAUUACUGCCUUUGAAAAAUAUUUAUCUUCCUCACGUCAUGUUAUUGGCCAAAACAAAAAUGAGAAUUGGACAUACAGUGGCCAAGCAAGUAUAUUAUACCAGUAAAAAGAAGGAUCCUUCAAAGUGGUUACCUGCCCUUCAUUUUUUUGAAAUAGCUUUGAAGCUCGCUAGGACAUCAGGAACAGAAGAACAUGAGGUGGAAGCUGAAAUCUUUUUUCAGAAAGGCAAAAUAGAAUGUCAAAUAUUGAUGGAAGAGAAACCUCCAACUAUGCAACUUGAGAGUCUGUUUGAAGCUAUACAGCUAAGCUUGAGACAUGAUCAAAAUUCAGGGUUGAUAAGAGACUCCUACCUUGAAAUAGCCUUAUUACUUUUACACAUAAGGAAGUCAAAGAGCAAACUUCCAGUGUCACCAUUGACAACUAUUAAGGCUCUUCCCAGAAGGCAUAGUUCUACUAAAGAACCAAUAGUAAAUAAACAUGAAAUGUACAGUUUAUUUGCCUGGAUUGCAAUAAGAGCUGCUGCACAGGUCAGUGAGGCUGUGCUGGCAAUUAAUCUACUUAUUGGAAAGAAGAAUGCUAGAACUGAUAAAGUUAGCCAAGGAGCAUUAUCAAAUAUCCCAGAAUUUGCUUCCAUGGAUCUUUUUUCUUCAUACACAGAUUAUUUGCUUGAUAACUACCAAGUUGUCUUCCAGACUGGCUGUACAUUUUCUUACCUUAGUGAAGAGAUACAUGAGGAUGUAGAUUCUCAGAAAAGAAACCCAAUUAAAGUGGAUAUUACAUGGAUUCUUCUGCUGCGCUACUAUAUUCACCUACAAAGAAUUAAUAAUAUGAGCAAAUUGCUAGCAUCUCUGAAGCCAGGAUCUGGGAUGUCUUUGCCAGAUGACACUCUUCUCACUUCUCUUUUUAACUCUGGAUUGAUUUUGCGCCAAAAAGAAAUGCAUUUUUUCCUUAAAAGAUUCUUGCAGCUAUAUUCUUCAUCUUGUAUUGAUGAAUUUCCAAAAGAACUAUUUCAAGUCAUGGAAAGUCCACCUGUUCUAGAAAAAGUCUUAUAUGAUUCAGCAAGCAAGACAGGAGUAACUGAUGCUUCUCUACACUCCGAUUUAUCAUUAAAGAGCGUUACCAGCCCAUUGUAUGGAGACUCUGUGCCAUCAGUUGUGGUAACACAAGCUGUAAACAAAGAACUUUGUUUUCAGUGGUACAUUCCUCCCCUGGAAAAACCUCCAAAGGAAACAGAACCUAUGGUUUUAUUGUUGUAUGCAUAUAAUAUGAAGCCCCUGAAUAUUUCUGAUGUUGCGUCUACUGCUUGCAACAGUGUGUACGUAGGCUCUUUCUGGGUUCCACUAAAAAGAGUUAUUUCAGUUCAUGAGAAACUAUCUAAUCUUACGCAAAUUGCUGAAAUAUCAUUGCCAACAACUCCUAAAGUUACUUCAAAUGAAAAUUUACGUGAAGUAGAGGAAACAGAGGAGAAAUCCAUUGAUACAGAAAUGGAAAACAUGAUUAUUGUCUGUUGCAAUGAAAUAGUAUCUUUGUUUUUGGGUGAUGAGAUGGCAACUCCACUAUCUGAGGUCCCAUUUGAUGUCUCGCUGCCAUCUAUAUUCAGUCUGGAGAGACUUUUUGAUCUUGCUAGUGGCUGUAUCAUAUCAGGAGGAAGCCUUUUCAACUGGAUGGUGUCAAUUAUUCCCUGA